rnacentral:lncRNA from 1 species
GAACUCAGCUUCAACGGCAAACCAUCUUCUCCUUCCCUUCAACCACUCAAACCAUAUAUACUCCAACUCCUCAACACACAUAUACUCAUGUAUAUGAUCACAGGGGUCCAAAACUAUCUAAUAACCCCAAACAACAAAUCAAACAUAACACAGAAACAUGUAUACAUGCAUAACUCAUCAAAACUAUCAUUAAUAACCUAAACAUGCAUCUCCUUCCACAAAUCCCAUAAAAACCUUCAGAAAACAUAAAAACAUGUUCAAGAGCAUCACUUACCUCCUGUAACAAGAAGAUGAACACUCUGAACAAGAA